UGUUGGUUCUCCCGCAACGCCACUCUGCUUACCGUGUCAGGUCCGGAAGGAAGCAGCCAGGCAGAUGACGCGUGCCGGGAUGUGUAGUUGGCAGGG
rnacentral:SRP_RNA from 1 species